rnacentral:rRNA from 1 species
ACUCCUACGGGAGGCAGCAGUGGGGAAUUUUGGACAAUGGGGGCAACCCUGAUCCAGCCAUGCCGCGUGAGUGAAGAAGGCCUUCGGGUUGUAAAGCUCUUUCAGACGGAAAGAAACGGUUACGGCUAAUACCCGUGACUAAUGACGGUACCGUCAGAAGAAGCACCGGCUAACUACGUGCCAGCAGCCGCGGUAAUACGUAGGGUGCGAGCGUUAAUCGGAAUCACUGGGCGUAAAGCGUGCGCAGGCGGUUUUGUAAGACAGGUGUGAAAUCCCCGGGCUUAACCUGGGAACUGCAUUUGUGACUGCAAGGCUAGAGUGCGGCAGAGGGGGGUAGAAUUCCACGUGUAGCAGUGAAAUGCGUAGAUAUGUGGAGGAAUACCGAUGGCGAAGGCAGCCCCCUGGGUCGACACUGACGCUCAUGCACGAAAGCGUGGGGAGCAAACAGGAUUAGAUACCCUGGUAGUCCACGCCCUAAACGAUGUCAACCAGGUGUUGGGGAAGGAGACUUCUUUAGUACCGCAGCUAACGCGCUAAGUUGACCGCCUGGGGAGUACGGUCGCAAGAUUAAAACUCAAAUGAAUUGACGG